rnacentral:rRNA from 1 species
CAGCCGCCACGGUAAUACGAAGGGUGCAAGCGUUACUCGGAAUUACUGGGCGUAAAGCGUGCGUAGGUGGUGGUUUAAGUCCGUUGUGAAAGCCCUGGGCUCAACCUGGGAAUUGCAGUGGAUACUGGGUCACUAGAGUGUGGUAGAGGAUAGUGGAAUUUCCGGUGUAGCAGUGAAAUGCGUAGAGAUCGGAAGGAACAUCUGUGGCGAAGGCGACUAUCUGGGCCAACACUGACACUGAGGCACGAAAGCGUGGGGAGCAAACAGGAUUAGAUACCCCUGUAGUCCCUGUCUCUAUACA